UUGUGUUGUUUGGUGGGUGGGACGCCUUCUCGGGCAGGUGCAGGACUUGCCCAUCAGCUACCCGGGAGUGAUUCACUCUGGUCCUCGACCUCUCCCAGCACGGCUCUCAAUUGGCCUCGGUGACUAACCCAAGGGGAGGAGGGUGUGUGGUGACCUGCUUUGGCUGGAAAUGACAGUGCAUAGCUGCAGUCAGCACCUUAUCCCAGGGUGCUGGUGCAAGUUCCUGGGCUGGCCAGACAUACAGAUAUUUCUGGACCGUGCAGGUCCCUUGGCCACAAGCUUCCCGCCAUCCGCCUGUAUCCCACAGCACCAGCCAUGGGCUCCUCCUGGCUCCUCCCGUGACCUGGGUUCUGUGUUUCCACAGGGCUGCACCUUCCUCCUUCUCCCCGGCCACAACCUGCCCGUCACAGUUGAGCACCUGUUUUCCUGAAGGUGAUUUCCAGAAGCAGGAGUCCCCAGAGCUGGCCAGGGGAUGAACCGCGAGGGGGCCCCCGGGAAGAGUCCGGAGGAGAUGUACGUUCAGCAGAAGGUCCGGGUGCUGCUUAUGCUGAGGAAGAUGGGCUCCAACCUGACGGCCAGCGAGGAGGAGUUCCUGCGCACCUACGCGGGGGUGGUCAACAGCCAGCUCAGCCAGCUACCCCAGCACUCCAUCGACCAGGCAUCACCUGGCCUCUCCUGACCGCUGGAUAGCACCGGUGAUCUCGAGCCUUGGCGGCUGAGUGGCAUUCUGACUCUUGCUGGAUCACAGAAGGCUCUGUUCUGCUCACCGCCCAAGGGCUCCCCUGAAACCUUGUGUCUGGGAGCUGCUUGCCUUUCUGGUACCUGAGAAAACACAAGUAAGGCCGCCCGCAUUCCCACCCUGUACCCUGCAAGGCAGUGGCUGCCCUUUGCACGCAGGAUAAAAAUCUCCCCACCCUUGGGUAGGCAGCCCAAGGCCCUGGUGACCUGGCUCCCGCUAACCUCUGACCUCAUCUCCUGCCACUCUUCCCUGCCCUUCACACCCAGCCCCUUGUCUCCUUUCAUCACCCAGACACGCUGAGCCUGCCCCCACCUCAGGGCUCGUGUGCUGGCUCUUCUUUCUACCUGCAAUUCUUCUCCACAUGGCUGAAUCCUCAGUUUUCAGAUGUCAGCUCAAAUGUCUGUUUGACACUCCCUGUCUCAGUCUGUUCAGGCUGCUAUAACGAAAUAUCACAGACCGGGUGGCUUAUAAACAACAGCAAUUUAUUUCUCACAGUUCUGGAGGCUGCAAGUCCAAGACCAGGGUGCCAGCAUGGUCAGGUUCUGGUCUCACCAGCCCUUUUCUGGGAUGCAAACUGCCAGCUUCUCCCGGUGUCCUCAUGAGGUGGAAGCAGGGAGGGAGCUCUGUGGGGUCUCUUUUAAAAAGGCACUAAUCCCAUUCACGAGGCCUCCACCCUCGUGACCUAAUCACCUCCCAAAAGCCCCACCUCCUAACACCAUCACAUUGGGUGUUAGGAUUGCAACAUACGAAUUUUUUUUUUUGUGGGGUGGGACACAAACAUUCAGACCAUAGCACCCCCUUGAAGGGUCUUCACUGACCACCCUAUUUUCUUAUCUUUAUUUAUUUAUUUUUUUUUUGCGGUACGCGGGCCUCCCACUGCUGCGGCCUCUCCCGCUGCGGGGCACAGGCUCCCGACGCGCGGGCUCAGCGGCCACGGCUCACGGGCCCAGCCGCUCCGCGGCACGCGGGAUCCUCCCGGACCGGGGCACGAACCCGCGUCCCCUGCAUCGGCAGGCGGACUCUCAACCGCUGCGCCACCAGGGAAGCCCCUGACCACCCAAUUUUGCUUUCUCCUCCCUGACAUGCUCUAUCCCAUUUUUCUGUUGAUUUUCUUUAUCUGAAAAAGCCUUAUUUAUGAAUUUCUUCCUUUGCUGGUUUAUCUCUCAUUCCUCCCACUAGAAGGUAAGCUCGUGGGAACAGGAACCUUGUCUGACUUCUGCACUGCUGUGUCUCCAGUACCUGACAUAUUGUAGGCUCUCAAUAAAGAUUUGUUAAAUGAAUGAAUAACCUUGACCUUGAAAUAGCUCCUCUGCUGAGCCCUCUGUGACCCACAGAUACAGUGACCCUAUUUUCUGAACAAAAACAAAGAAAUUUGGGACCUACAGAGAGAAAGGCAUUGUCUGUUUCUCUGGCUGAGGCCUUAGGGCACGUUUCAGGGGGGCUGGGCCCUGACAUCUGUGUGGCAACCCACACCCACAGCCCUGUUGGGCCUGUCUUGGCCGGUAAAGCAACUCCAGGCUCAGGGACGUGCAGUGGUCACAACCUUCUGACUUGCAGGCAGCAGAAACCCACCUCCAACUGGAUCCCGUCGCUGGGGAGGCUCUGGGGGUAAGCUUGUAGGAUGAAGGCAAUUGCUGCAGGAACCAGGGCCUCAGGGACUGGAACUGGGGACUCAGUGCUUUUGAGGGGAUUCUCCUCUUCUAGGUCCAUUGCUGCUUGUUUCUGCUUCACCAUUUGGUCUUAUCAUCUCCUUUCAGACUGACCUCCUCCUACAGCAGCCUCAGUGCCCCAGGCAAUCCCAGGGCAGUGUCUGAUUGGCCCUGCUUGGGUAAUGUGCCACCUUUGGACCAAUCACAGUUGCUGGGGCCUUAGCCACAUCCCCUUCCUGUGACCGGGGUGGGACAGGCCCUUGAGGGCAUCAUCGCCACCAGGGCCACAUGCAGAACAGCAGUGGUGCCUAAAGGGAAUGAUGCUGUGUGAUCGGGGACAGGCCGUCCACCACUGGGCUCUGGUGCUGGCUGAACCCCAGGGGGUGAGAAAUCCCAUGGUGACAUCAAUCCUGGGUGCUCAGCUAACCUGCCACGGGGGUAGGAAGGGGACCUGCCCCUUGAGAUCAGGGUUUUCUUCUUCCACAUGUAGACCUGGUUUUGCCAUCCUAGAGCAGCACUGUGGUGUCAUGUAGCCCCUACCUAGGAUGGCAGGUGUCCCACAAGAGUAAAAGAAGGCCGGCAAAUGCUACAUGCUGCACACAUUCUUUUGGAGAGUCGCAGUAUACUAGAGGUUCUGAGAAGUCCUGCAAUAAAGACAUCCAUUUCAUUUAGCUUUUCAUCUAGCUUUUCCCUCACCUAUUGGAACACAGAACUCAAGUUCUGAGCCCUGCUGCUUAUGGGUUGUGUGUGACUUCUCCAAGCCUCAGUUUCCCCACCUGUGAAAUGAGUGAUAAUACCAACCCCCAUAGGGUGGUUUCAAGUGUGGAAUGGAAGCAGGUCUUUGGUAAGUAUCUUGUGAGCCUGAAAGCGCUAUGCAGACACCUGACCAUUUUCCGGUUUAACCCGGGAAAUAACACAUACUCUGUUUACCUUACGAGGUAAGUAAUCCUGAGUCAUUAAGAUUAGGGGAUGACAAAGGGAAAGAAGGUGACGCAUCCAGGCUUGGCCAGACAGGUGACUAAUUAGAGGUGGGUGCAGAGGAAUUCCAACAGCAGUGCUGUGGAGACUAACGGCUCUGGGGCCAGGAGAACAGAGGCCACAGUGAUGGGAAACCCUGGGAAGAGGUGCUGGGCAGGAGGGAGGUGCUGGCUAUCACUGCUGAGUCUUUCUCAAGGCUUCUAAUCAGACAGCAUCACUGGUGUCCACUCCCCGAGCCUUCCUUGUCCCCCAUGGGGAACUCUGCAUAGGAUAGAGGUGGGUCUAUGAGUUUGCUUGGGCUGCCUUAACAAACACCAUAAGUGACUUAAGAGAAAUUCAUUUUCUAGGGAAGUCCCUGGUGGUCCGGAGGUUAGGACUCCAUGCUUCCACUGCAGGGGGCGUGGGUUUGAUCCUUGGUCGGGAACCAAGAUCCCGCGAGCCGUGCGGUGCAGCCAAAACAAAAAAAAAAAAAAAAAAAAAAAAGAAAGAAAUUCAUUUUCUCUCAGUUCUGGAGGCUAGAUGUCCAAAACCAAGGUGUUGGCAGUGUUGGUCCUGCUGAGGACCGUGAAGGAGAAAUCUGCUCCAGGCCUCUCUCCUUGGCUUGUAGAUGGCUGUCUUCUCCCACGUCUCUUCACAUCAUCCAUCUUCCCUCUACGUGGCUAAAUUUCCCCUUUUUAUGAGGAUAGCAGUCAUAUUGGAUUAGGGCCCACCCACAAGGAUAUCAUUUUAACUUGGUUACUUCUGUCGAGACCCCCUCCCUCCACAUAAGGUCACAUUCUGAGUUACUAAGGGUUAAGACUUAAACAUAACGAACUUUGGAGAGAUACAUUCUACCCAUGAUGGCGGGCAUUCUCCCGAGUGGGAAUCUCCCUCCAUCUCACCAGCCCAACUCCUUGGCCAAAAGCAUGUGGAUUGUGGCCUCCUGGAAGAGAGAUGGAGCCCGUAAUUGUGUUAAUUGCCACAAUACCAAAUCUGCAAUUAAUAUGCCAUGGGAACACAGAACAAAUGCACUAAUAGCACAUAAUUGGACCUAAACUACACCCUCAGCAGGGCCGUGCGACUGAGCUCCGCUGUCCGUGCUCCCUUCCAAAUUAGCAAAGACGAGCGAAUUAACAUCCGUUUCCCCUUCACCCUGCUCCGAGGGGAGCUGAGGAGGAAACUCGGGGAGGGGGGAUGCUUGGCAGGCACCCUAGUUGGGGCCCGUCCAGAGCCGGGCACCAGGCUGGCCUUUGGAGCUGUGGGCAAGAGGAGGGUGUUGAAGGAGUGAGGAAUCCAGAGCUUUCCACAAGUCCUGACACUGGGGCUUUGGCUGACCACCCCCCCACUAGGAUGGCAGAGAGUCUGGUGACUAGGGCAUGACUCACAUGCAAGUGGCAACUAUUUUGAGCCUGGGGCAGGAGGGGUUCGGCUUUGGAAACUUGAGGCCCGGUGCUGGGAUCUCUCGUCCUUAUUCCUGAGGUGGUGGUCGAGUCCGGGGGCAGAUGGCAACCCUCCUCAGAAGGGCAGAUACAAGCUCCUCUGCCCUUUCCGCACGCAGGCCUGACAGCCUUGUGUCUCCUCGGCCCCAGGGACAGCUUUCUGGAGCCUCCUCUGCCCGUGCUUGCCUCCUUCAGCUGCAAGGUGCCCUGCUCGGGCCUGCUGGCAGCCAGCCGGAGCUUCUGUCCUAACACGUGGCAUCCCCGGCCCAGCCAGCGCCCCGCAGAGCCUCCACCUCCUCCGCCCACCACCACGCGUCUGGGGCUCCCUGUCUUCAUCCUUGGCCGCCCCAUCUGCUUCUUCCUUCUUUCCAGCUCCCAGGUCUUGCCCCAGGGACACAGGAAUGGACUGAGCCCGUGGCCUGCGCUUCAGGAGCUCCCAGAGCUGGAAGAGGUAUCGGACAGGACGGAGAUCAGCCGAGCAGUUCUCCCGUCCGGAUGCCCCUCUGACUUUUCCCGGUCUUGCAGAAACUUUCACCAUCGGAGCAGCUUCUGGGAGCUAGU